UACGAAGGGGGCUAGCGUUGUUCGGACUUACUGGGCGUAAAGCGCACGUAGGCGGAUUUGUUAGUCAGGGGUGAAAUCCCGGGGCUCAACCUCGGAACUGCCUUUGAUACUGCAAGUCUAGAGUCCGGAAGAGGUGAGUGGAAUUCCUAGUGUAGAGGUGAAAUUCGUAGAUAUUAGGAAGAACACCGGUGGCGAAGGCGGCUCACUGGUCCGGUACUGACGCUGAGGUGCGAAAGCGUGGGGAGCAAACAGG
rnacentral:rRNA from 1 species